rnacentral:rRNA from 1 species
UACGUAGGGACCGAGCGGUGUCCGGAAUCAUUGGGCGUAAAGAGCGUGUAGGCGGCCCCUUAAGUCCUGCGUGAAAUCCUGCGGCUCAACCGCAGACGGUCGUGGGAAACUGGAGGGCUAGAGUGCGGGAGAGGAGAGUGGAAUUCCCGGUGUAGCGGUGAAAUGCGCAGAUAUCGGGAAGAACACCCGUGGCGAAGGCGGCUCUCUGGAACGCAACUGACGCUGAGACGCGAAAGCGUGGGGAGCAAACAGG